GCAGCCAUGCCGCGUGAAUGAUGAAGGUCUUAGGAUUGUAAAAUUCUUUCACCGGGGACGAUAAUGACGGUACCCGGAGAAGAAGCCCCGGCUAACUUCGUGCCAGCAGCCGCGGUAAUACGAAGGGGGCUAGCGUUGCUCGGAAUUACUGGGCGUAAAGGGAGCGUAGGCGGAUAGUUUAGUCAGAGGUGAAAGCCCAGGGCUCAACCUUGGAAUUGCCUUUGAUACUGGCUAUCUUGAGUGUGGGAGAGGUAUGUGGAGCUCCGAGUGUAGAGGUGAAAUUCGUAGAUAUUCGGAAGAACACCAGUGGCGAAGGCGACAUACUGGCCCAUUACUGACGCUGAGGCUCGAAAGCGUGGGGAGCAAACAGGAUUAGAUACCCUGGUAA
rnacentral:rRNA from 1 species